UUUCUAUCACUUGCAACCCCAAUUCCAGAACUCCCCGAUUCUUUCUGCCUCUCUCGAGUAUCAACGCUCAGAGAAUUCACUCGAUUCGUAUCUCAAGCACAUCUCUUUCUUCAAAUUCUCUAGAAAUCAGCAAUUUACAGGGAAAUAGUCCAUCAAUUCAAUUUCAAUUCUUGAGGGAAAUAGUCCACUCUCUAGAAAUCGGGGCAUUUACUUUUUGGAUGUUAUUUUGGAGAUACAGAGAAGAUGAAUUUGCUUUUUGGUUAUCUGCAUUGAUGUUGAACCUGUGGGCCUCAGCACUGAUGGGGACGAGAAUGUUGGUGAUGAUGCAAAUACGCCUGCUUUGGAGGACGAUGCUGCUGAAGAGAUCAAGAUGGAGGAGGUCGACUAAGGUUCUGGAUUAGUAGAGUAAUUUGCGUCUGAGUUUGUGGAUAUGUCUUGGCAAGUUGUUUAAACAAUAACUAUUAGUAGUAGUUCUGUCAUGUGUGUCUAUUGUUAGUGUAUUUCUUUUUCUAUUUUUCUGUAUUGGGGCAUUACUCAUUUACUCUGAAGUCUGAACUCUCUUCCAAUUUCAAAAUAUGUUUGUGCCUCUUUAAUUGGAGCUCUUUCUUUCA